rnacentral:rRNA from 1 species
AACGUAGGUGGCAAGCGUUGUCCGGAAUUACUGGGUGUAAAGGGAGCGCAGGCGGAAUGGCAAGUUGGAUGUGAAAUCUGGGGGCUCAACCCCCAAACUGCAUUCAAAACUGCUGUUCUUGAGUGAUGUAGAGGCAGGCGGAAUUCCCGGUGUAGCGGUGGAAUGCGUAGAUAUCGGGAGGAACACCAGUGGCGAAGGCGGCCUGCUGGGCAUUUACUGACGCUGAGGCUCGAAAGUGUGGGGAGCAAAC